rnacentral:rRNA from 1 species
UAGCCCUAGGUCUCUGAUUGCUUAUCAUAUUUUUCCAAGAGAAUGAUAACUCCUGAAAAGUG